ensembl:lncRNA
CUUCAACAAGGGCAAAUCCUGCUUAACCAACCUAGUAGCCUUCUGUGAUGGUGUAACUACAUCAGUGGUCAAGGGAAGAGCCACUACCUCUUCCAGAGUCCAUCUACCUGGACUUCAGUGCUGAGACCGGUACUCUUUAAUAUCUUCAUCAAUGACAUUGACAGUGGCAUUGAGGGCACCCUCAGCAAGUUUGCUGAUGACACCAAGCUGUGGGGUGAGGUUAACACACCAGAGGGAUGGGAUGCCAUCCAGAGGGACCUAGACAGGCUGAGCAGUGGGCCCAGGUGAACCUCAUGAGGUUCUGCAAAUCCAAAUGCAAGAUCUUGCACCUGGGUUGAGGUAACCCCCAUUAUCAAUACAAGCUGGGGAAGGAAAGGAUUGAGUGCAGCUCUGCCGAAAAAAGACGUGGGAGUACUGGUGGAUGGCAAGCUGGACAUGAACCAUCAGUAUCUAAAGGGGAGCUAUGGGAAAGAGGACAGACUCAUUAUCAGGGUCUGUUGUGACAGAGCAAGGGGAAAUGGUUUCAAGCUCAGGGAAGGUCGAUUUAGGUUAGAUAUAAAGAAAACGUCUUUAACAGUGAGGGUGGUGAGGCACUGUUAGAGGAGGUUGCCCAGUGAUGUGGUGGAUGCCCCAUGCCUGGAGGCUUUUCAGGUUGAGGCUGGAUCAGGCCCUGGGCAACCUGAUCUCGCUGUGCAUGUCCAUGUUCAUUGCAGGGCAGUGGGACUAGAUGGCCAUCAGAAGUCCCUUUCAGCUCUAAGGGUUCUAUGAUUCUAUGAUUUGUGCAGAUGAACUGAUUGAGGCACUCCUCAUUUCAUGAUAUGACGUCUGUUCAUGGCCAUCCGGAAUGUAGCAUGUCUUUCACAUUGCUGUCACUGCUGCUGAAAUGCACCACCCACUGCUUCACUGUGCUCACAUUUACCUUUUGCUUUCCAGAAGUGUUCAGCAAGUGUUGAUGUCAGUGGGUGUCAUUUUUCUGCAUGUGGGAAUUCAGUGACAUACCUUUGCUUCAUAUGUGCUUCCACAUCAAAUGCUGUUUUGUCAGAGUGCCCCUCUGCUGCCAUCUGUCAUAAAGGAGCAAAAUGUAACAGAAUAUUGUCUGGAGGGUUCAUGCCAUACCACCAACAUCUGCCUUUGAUAGUGUAGGCCCACAUAAUAAAAUCGGAGGCGUUACUUUCGGAGCAACGUUUAUAUAUAUUUUGCUUGCAACAUUUCCUCUGUCUUCUAAUAUAAUUCCAUGUGUAAUGUAUUUGAAAGCCUGUGGUCUUGACGUUCCUAGCAGGUAAGUUUGUGUAUAGACCUGUACUUCCAGUGCUUGUGUUUUAAUUGCUGUCCUUUCCCCUGCAGUGCUCCACUGCUGUCAGCAUGAUCAGUUGGCAGUGCUGGGCAGAGCUAUUAUGGCAGGAUUCCUGAUUGUAACUCCAGACAAAAUUUUUUUUUAAGUCUGUAAUAAUACCCUUCCAAGUUCUACAAAAGCAUUUAUAGAGGAUGUGUGGGGUUAUGAUAGCUCUGGUGGAACUCAGUAGCAAACGAGGGAACUGAGCAUUUUAAUCUUGAAUGUUGUCUUGUGUACAGAUUUUCUGACUGCCUACCACCAAACACAACUAUCUACACCUGUAAUGUGUCCUUCAUCCAGAGCACCACAAAACAUUUUACAAUAAGCAGCAAUUAAAACUGAAGGUUAUAUAUCUCCAUCAGAAUACCAUCUUGGAAAAGGAAAAAACGAAGAUAAGCUAGAAAUUAAGAAUUUUGGAUUCUUGUGCAAUGAUUUUAUGCAUAAUUCUAUAUUGAGACCUUAUUUUUAAUUUGUAAAAUAAUUUUAUUAAGUAAACUAAGAUUCGUUUGUGAAAAGGUUCCAUUUCUACAUAAAAUUACAGAAAUUUUGACAUAGAUUUUGACAUUGUUUAGAAGAUAAGACCUUUUUAUUUAUCUCUAAAAUGUGAAAAAAAACUAAUAACAGAAUACUUCUUAGUGUAUUUACAUGAAAAUAGUUUGUUUAAUAAUAGUUUGUAAUCAUAUUUCUGUUUAAUUUUUUUUUUAAAUUCUGUAGAAUAUUUCCUUGCUUGAAAGUAAAAUGUAAAACACUGAGUACAGUAUCUUUUAGAGAAUUUAUGGUAAUGCUGCUGAAUUUAGCUGAGCAUAAAAAGCAUGGUGAGCCCCUCAGGGUCUCUUCUUUUCCUGACACACUCCACUGCUGCACCAUUAACACUUCGUCUGUUAUUGCCAUCUACUUAGUUUAAUGAGGAUCUUUGAAUUUGAAGUUCUACACAAGAAAAAAUGGCUAAAAUAACUGAUGUACCUACUGCAGCUUUCCGCAGAGUAUUUAUUCCCUUUGUAUUUUUUAAGUAGAAGUAGAAGAUUCAUGUUCUUCAGCAGUGUAGUUAUAUCACAAUGAUUUCUUUAAUUAUGGUAGGUGCUAAUCACAAGCACUGAAUAAUGACUAGAAAUAUGAUGCUUUACCUGUCUGUGUAAAAGGUAAACACGUGCUGGAUAGCUUCUAGAGGAGACUCUUCAUCACCUUAAAAUUCUUUCUAUUAAUACUGACACUUUAAUGUGAAUAAGGAAUAGUACUGCUGGAGAUUUUGUGCUAUCAAAGCAGAAUAUUAUAUUACUUCUAAGAAAUCAGAAGACAGAAAGGCUAGGUGCUGUUUUUCAAUACCUGUAUGAAUCCAGCUAACUGCAGUAAAGGGUCAGUAUAUGGCUCAUUAGAUUGGAUUCCUAAAACUGAAUUUAUCACAGUCCUAUGAAUACAUGCAUAAAACAUCUUAAAUUAUGAAACAAUAUGAAACAGACAAGGACUCAAACUGAUUUAAAACUUAAAUAAUGCUGCACUACGUCGUAGAAUUAGAAUGACUUUCUAACCUUUUACUGAUUACUGAGUGAUCAGCAAAAACAAAAGAUUGCUCCGAAUCACCUUAAAUACCUAACUGAUCUGGAAAGUCUCUGCAGAACCAAAUAAAAAGUCUGAGUAAUUGAAUGAAUUUCUGUUCCAGAGAACUAAGGAAAUAAGUUGUAUAUUAGACUUUUUAAAAAACUAUUGUUAAAUGCAUUUUUUAAAAGCCUAUUUUUAAAAAGUUAGAAUAACAUGAGUGAUUCUGUUCCUCAUUCCUUGCUAUCAUAUAGUAAAAUCAUUUGU